UACGUAGGGGGCGAGCGUUGUCCGGAAUUACUGGGCGUAAAGGGCUCGUAGGCGGCCAACUAAGUCGGAUGUGAAAUCCCCAAGCUUAACUUGGGAACUGCAUCCGAUACUGGAUGGCUUGAAUCCGGGAGAGGGAUGCAGAAUUCCAGGUGUAGCGGUGAAAUGCGUAGAUAUCUGGAGGAAUACCGGUGGCGAAGGCGGCAUCCUGGACCGGCAUUGACGCUGAGGUGCGAAAGCGUGGGGAGCAAACAGG
rnacentral:rRNA from 1 species